rnacentral:rRNA from 1 species
UGCCAGCAGCCGCGGUAAUACGGAGGGGGCUAGCGUUGUUCGGAAUUACUGGGCGUAAAGCGCGCGUAGGCGGAUCAGAAAGUAAGGGGUGAAAUCCCGGGGCUCAACCCCGGAACUGCCUUGUAAACUCCUGGUCUUGAGUUCGAGAGAGGUGAGUGGAAUUCCGAGUGUAGAGGUGAAAUUCGUAGAUAUUCGGAGGAAUACCAGUGGCGAAGGCGGCUCACUGGCUCGGUACUGACGCUGAGAUGCGAAAGCGUGGGGAGCAAACAGGAUUAGAUA